UACCGGCAGCUCGAGUGAUGACCGAUUUUAUUGGGCCUAAAGCGUCCGUAGCUGGCCUCGUUGGUCCGUCGGGAAAUCCACCUGCUCAACAGGUGGGCGUCCGGCGGAUACCACGAGGCUUGGGACCGGAAGACCCGGGGGGUACGUCCGGGGUAGGAGUGAAAUCCUGUAAUCCUGGACGGACCACCGAUGGCGAAAGCACCUCGGGAAGACGGAUCCGACAGUGAGGGACGAAAGCUCGGGUCUCGAACCGGAUUAGAUACCCGGGUAGUCCGAGCCGUAAACGAUGCCAGUUAGGUGUGUCACCCACUACGAGUGGGUGAUGCGCCGUAGGGAAGCCGCUAAACUGGCCGCCUGGGAAGUACGUCCGCAAGGAUGAAACUUAAAGGAAUUGGCGGGGGAGCACUACAACCGGAGGAGCCUGCGGUUU
rnacentral:rRNA from 1 species